GGCGCAUUGGCCUAAUGGCUAAGGCGUUGCUUUCCGGUGGCAAAGAUUCCAGGUUCGAGUCCUGGAUGCGUCG